AGAGUUUGAUCCUGGCUCAGGACGAACGCUGGCGGCGUGCCUAAUACAUGCAAGUAGAACGCUGAAGAGAGGAGCUUGCUCUUCUUGGAUGAGUUGCGAACGGGUGAGUAACGCGUAGGUAACCUGCCUUGUAGCGGGGGAUAACUAUUGGAAACGAUAGCUAAUACCGCAUAACAAUGGAUGACACAUGUCAUUUAUUUGAAAGGGGCAAUUGCUCCACUACAAGAUGGACCUGCGUUGUAUUAGCUAGUAGGUGAGGUAACGGCUCACCUAGGCGACGAUACAUAGCCGACCUGAGAGGGUGAUCGGCCACACUGGGACUGAGACACGGCCCAGACUCCUACGGGAGGCAGCAGUAGGGAAUCUUCGGCAAUGGGGGCAACCCUGACCGAGCAACGCCGCGUGAGUGAAGAAGGUUUUCGGAUCGUAAAGCUCUGUUGUAAGUCAAGAACGAGUGUGAGAGUGGAAAGUUCACACUGUGACGGUAGCUUACCAGAAAGGGACGGCUAACUACGUGCCAGCAGCCGCGGUAAUACGUAGGUCCCGAGCGUUGUCCGGAUUUAUUGGGCGUAAAGCGAGCGCAGGCGGUUUGAUAAGUCUGAAGUUAAAGGCUGUGGCUCAACCAUAGUUCGCUUUGGAAACUGUCAAACUUGAGUGCAGAAGGGGAGAGUGGAAUUCCAUGUGUAGCGGUGAAAUGCGUAGAUAUAUGGAGGAACACCGGUGGCGAAAGCGGCUCUCUGGUCUGUAACUGACGCUGAGGCUCGAAAGCGUGGGGAGCAAACAGGAUUAGAUACCCUGGUAGUCCACGCCGUAAACGAUGAGUGCUAGGUGUUGGAUCCUUUCCGGGAUUCAGUGCCGCAGCUAACGCAUUAAGCACUCCGCCUGGGGAGUACGACCGCAAGGUUGAAACUCAAAGGAAUUGACGGGGGCCCGCACAAGCGGUGGAGCAUGUGGUUUAAUUCGAAGCAACGCGAAGAACCUUACCAAAUCUUGACAUCCUCUGACCCCUCUAGAGAUAGAGUUUUCCCCUUCGGGGGACAGAGUGACAGGUGGUGCAUGGUUGUCGUCAGCUCGUGUCGUGAGAUGUUGGGUUAAGUCCCGCAACGAGCGCAACCC
rnacentral:rRNA from 1 species